GCACAAUGUGACACCUGGCCAGUGCCAAGGAGCAGAGGCAGCCCAGUGCUCUCCUCCAGGGCUCUCCAGGGAAGCAAGAGGGAGCCUUGGUCCUGUCUGAGUGGCCACAGGGCUGGCUGUCCCCUUGCAGGGGUCAGCGUGGCUGGGAGAAGGUCCUGAGAACUGCAGAUGGCUGCUGGGUGCUGCAUCCCAGAUCGUGCAGAGUAGGGCAAGGCUGGAUGGCCAUGGAAAGGCAUGGCAAGGUUUGGAAUGAGGGGUUUUUGGGGUCUUGAAGGAUUUGGGAUGUUCCUGUCCUGCUCCUGGCUGCUGUGGGGCACAAAGUGCUCUCUUGGAGCCCAGGGACAGGAGGGCUCUGCUUCCAGAAGGGGCCUGAUUCUGCUUCCAGAGGGAAUCCAGCUCUUGUCAGAGCAGGGGUGCCUGGGGGUGACAAGCAGGAUAUCCUGGCUGGGGAUGGAGCCUGUCCCAGCUGGGAGAGCUCUGUCCUCAGGGCAGGUGUGUGUGAGUGCUCCGUGGAGCACUGUGUGUGUGCACAGUGGGCACACAUGAACCUAUGGAUGUCAGCAAGUGUCCAUGUGUGCUGCACUUGUGUCUGUGCCUCUGCCUCUGCUCCUGGGUCCUGCUCUCCUCCUUUUUGGGCACAGAGUGUGAGAUUAACCUCCAGAUCCUUCCUCCCAGCAUGUGCUCCUGCUCCCUCCCUUGGAAAUGCCGUAAUUUAGACGAGAAAAUAUGGAAGCGUCUUCAGUCCCUGCUCAGUGACCUUCAAAACCAUCCAGCAAAUUGGGCUUGGACGCCGAGCCCGGCCAGAUGGCCCCUCUCAAACACGCUGGCCCUGCAGCCGGGCUUUACUCGUGGAUCCUGCCGCAGCAGCCUCGGGAAGCGGCGCUCAGGCUGUGCUCUGGGAAGGCAGCCACGCCGAGGAGGAGCCGCUGGGGCUCUGCCAGCCCGCUGGGCAGGGACAGAGCCGGCAGCCCGGCCCUUCGGGGGGAAUUCAAUUGUGAAGGCCAGAGUUAAGAGGGGGAGAUCCCAAACUGGCUGGGUGUGGGCACCUGUGCUCGACUGGGAUGGCUGUGGAGGUGGAAGUUUUCAGUUCACUCAGGCAGAUGAGCCUAACUAGGAAGCGACCACGCAGGGAUUCCAGGAUGCUUCAUUAGCAUGCAGCCUGGAGAGGAGGCUCUGCCUCUACAUGCAAAGGGAGGCUGAAGCAUUGCAGAAGCUGUGACUGAGGAAUCCAUCCCCCAAAUUCAGGGCUGACCUGAAUGCCAUCCUGCAGGGAUGUUGGGGGAUGCAGUGCCUGGAGGGGUGCUGGGGCUGAGGUUUGUCACCAAUCUCCCCAGUGGCACCAGCAGCACCCCUCCCCCAGGCACUCCUGCUCUGUCACCUCCCUCGCCUGUCCUUGGUCACCAGUGACAGGCACUGGGGAGGUGGGUGAUGCUGGUUUGCCUCCAGGUCAGCAGCACCAGGAACAUGGGGAAACAAUUCCAUACAGACCUGGGAAGUGGAGGGGAUCCUGAAGGAGCUCAGCUGCUGAUAAAUGCUUCCCAAAGGGAUUGGCAUGGCUCUGCUGGUGACCUGAGCCUCAUGCCCUCACCUGUGGGACACCAGUGUGAGGAAUCAACUCUACCCCCUGAGUCUCUUGCCCAGAGGUCCUCCCUUGGCUACUGGGGGUCUCUGCCUGGGGGACAGGGGCUGUGACAAGUGCCUGUGAGCUGCCAGGGUGAUGCUGAGCCCAGAGGAGCUGCUGCAGCCUGUUGGAGUGCAGACAGUGUGCUGGGCUGCAGGUUUCCCUGCCCUCGUGCCUGGCCAUGGUGGCUGUGCCACAAGGGGAGAUCAGAGGGUGAGUGAACUUGUUGCACGACAUGCAGCAUUUUCUGUGCAGCAAAGGUAUGUUUAAUCACAUGGAAUUGCUGCCAAGAAUUAGCAUUGAAAACUAUUAUUAUGCAUUGCUAUUAUUAAAGAACAGAUUUCCCCCUAAAUGCUGCUCUGGAGCAAAACCCAAUACCUGGAGUGAGCACCAAAGGUUGAUCAGAAAUUUUCUGCCAAAGGUCGGUCAGCAAUUUCCCACCCAACCGGUAUCACAUGAAAAAUGAAGCCAUCAGCUACAUGAGACUAUUCCUUAAGUAUCUGUUUUCAGCAAAACCCCAGCCCUUCAAAAUGUAACUCUUUGGGUUAUCAACUAAAAGAAACCAAAAACCUCUUGAAAUUUCUCCAAAUAAAAGUAUGAAAAUUUAAUCCCACUGAGACAUCCUUGGUUUGACACGAUGUGACCUUGAAGAGGGGGACAUGAAGAGGGGACAAACUCUGCUGCUGUUGGACACCUGUGCCUCAUUCAUGGACUGAGGGUUUAGCAUCAGUCCUCCUGUGAUGGUGGAGAAUCCAACCCCGAGGGCUGAAGGACUCCCUGGAGUGGUUUUCCACCAGAAAACAGGGGUUUGUUGGAAUCACAUCUUUCCCUGGGAACUUGUCGAUCUCGCUGCCAUUUUCCCGGGAAGAAGCCUCGCAGAAUCACUUUGACUUUCUUGUUUCAGCAGUGUCAAAAUGUUUAUUCCGCUCAUGU